AUUGAACGCUGGCGGCAGGCCUAACACAUGCAAGUCGAACGAGUGGCGGACGGGUGAGUAAUGUCUGGGAAACUGCCUGAUGGAGGGGGAUAACUACUGGAAACGGUAGCUAAUACCGCAUACUAUCGGAUGUGCCCAGAUGGGAUUAGCUAGUAGGUGGGGUAACGGCUCACCUAGGCGACGAUCCCUAGCUGGUCUGAGAGGAGGACCGGCCACACGGGAACUGAGACACGGUCCAGACUCCUACGGGAGGCAGCAGUGGGGAAUAUUGCACAAUGGGCGAAAGCCUGAUGCGGCCAUGCCGCGUGGAUGAAGAAGGCCUUCGGGUUGUAAAGUACGUUCAGCGGGGAGGCGUUACCCGCAGAAGAAGCACCGGCUAACUCCGUGCCAGCAGCCGCGGUAAUUC
rnacentral:rRNA from 1 species